rnacentral:lncRNA from 1 species
ACCAAUGCACUCCGGUCUGGGCAACAGAGUGAGACCCUGUCUCAAAAAAAAAAAAAAGAAAAAAUAGAUUACUGAUUACAGAUCACCAUGACAGAUAUAAUAACAUAAUAGUAACAGAAAAGUUUGAAAAAUGCAAAUUACCAAAAUGUGAGCUCAUGGUUUUGGAGAAAAUGGUUCCAAUAGACUCACCAGAUGCAGGGUUGCCACAAAUCUUCAAUUUGUAAAAAACGCAAUAUCUCUGAACCACAGUAAAGUUGAAGUGCAACAAAAUUAGGUAUGCCUGUAUGGAAACGCAGAGCUCACACCCUUCUGAUGAACAGACAGAAGUGUCAGAUCCUUUUCUAUGCUAGCAAAGGAUUUUAAGGGUUUGGAAUUCUCUAAAAGUGUAAAGCUCUUAGGAGGGCGUUACUUGGCAAAGCAGUGCUUUAUCUCAUUCUCUUGUUUGCCUGUUCAAACUUCCCACCCAUUGUAGACCCACUUGCUGUGUUAUUGCAGGUUAAGCCCCCAAGACCCUUUUCUCUCACCUUUUUUGUUCACUUCCCAUCCCCUUUCCUUUUCAGGUCAUCCUCCAUGCCCUUCUGAUGUCCACAUGUCUCUUCAUUUUCUUCUCAGGCCUCCUCUUUCUCUCACCAUCUAAGUUAUUGAAAUUCUUGAAAUCCUAAGCAGGCCUGGCACUGAGAGGUACUCUGUAAGGGAGCUGAAACUUCCAGCCUUUCUUCCUAUUCACAAACCCACCUUUACCCGCCCCCAAUGCUGGACUUUGGUUUUUCAUAUUGCUUUUGCAGAACUUUAAAACAUUUGAAUCUUUCCUUGAUGAGUUUUUGUCCUGAGGGGCCAGUGCAGUUUUCUUGCCACUUUGUUUUCCUCUCAUAUAACUUUUCCCUGUCAAUAAGGCAUUUAGGCUGAGAGAAAAAGUUAUUGAGCAUGUGCAUCCAAAUUUGAGAUGAUUGUUAUUUCAUUACCUAAUGACUUUAACUUCUUUGAUACUGUGUUUGUCUUAUGAAUAUAAUGGCUUUCUCACUUUAAUGAAAAGUUAUACAAUAAAAUUGAAAAGUAAGUACUGUA